AUGCCUUAAACUAAUGAGUAAGGAAAAUAACAAACUGGGGUGAUGCCUGGUUUCCUCACUAAGUAUGAGAUGAAUUUUUGAAUGGGUACAGGUUUCCCCUUGGAGGAUCUGCUUACUUUGCAGGACCUUCAGGUGAUGAGAUUUGCCCA